rnacentral:lncRNA from 10 species
GAGGCUGGCAGAUCACCUGAGGUCAGGAGUUCGAGACCAGCCUGACCAGUGUGAUGAAACCCCGUCUCUACUAAAAAUGCAAAAAUUAGCCAGGAGUGGGGGCAUGCGCCUGUAAUCCCAGCUACUCAGGAGGCUGAGACAGGAGAAUUGCUUGAACCCUGGAGGCAGAGGUUGCAAUGACCUGAGAUAGUGCCAUUGCACUAUAGCCUGGGCAACAAGAGCAAAACUCCAUCUUAUAAAAAAAAAAAAAAGAAAGAAAUACAUAACUUUAGGACAACUCUGACUUGGGUCAGCAGCUCCAAUUUAUAUGAUCUACACAGGACCAGCCAGUGGAUGAUUCCGUGAAACAGAAACCACCACUUUGGGAGUUGAAAGAAGAAAUCUAAUGUAUCCUGCUGUUCUGAAACCAUCACUUCCUAUUGACAGGUUUUUGGAUUUAGCUGACGGUAGAGACUGGGUUUCCCCAUGUUGCCCAGGCUGGCCUUGUACUCCUGGCCUCAAGCGAUCUUCCUGCCUUGGCCUCCCAAAGUGCUGGGAUUACAGGUGUGAGCCACUGCGUAAGCCACAUUAAGUGAGUCUUAAGUGUGGAAUGUGCCUGCAUAUGUGGAAAAGAGUCUCACUUGGCUGUGGUUUGUAAUUCAUUUUAUUUAUUGUUGGGUUUUAUUUGCUGUCACUGUGUUUGAGGACUUUCAUACCUAUGUUCAUAAUAGAUUUUGGUUUGUAUUUUUCCUCACUUUCAACCUCUUUACCUGGUUUUCACUUUUGAGUAAUGCUGGACUCAUGAAAUUAGUUAGGACGUGUUCUUCAGUUCCUAUUUUUUGGAACAUAUCAUAGAGAAUUGGUAUCAUUUUUUCUUAAACAUGUGGUAGUGUUCUGUUUUGGAAAGUUAUUGCUUAUUGAUUCAAUUUCUGAAAUAGAUAUAGUCUCAUUCAUUUUAUUCAGUUCUCCUUGUGUGAGUUUUGGCAGUUUGCCUUUUUUUUAGGAAUUGAUCCAUUUUAUUUGUUGCUAAAUUUGUGGGCAUACGGCGAUUCAUAAUAUUCCUUUAUUUCCUUUUAUUGUUCAUUCGUAGUAAUGUCCCUUCUUUCAUUCUGGCAUUUGUAAUUUGAGUAUUUUUUUUUCUUUUACUUGGUUAGCCAGGUUAGAAGUAUAUCAUUUUAAAAAUCAUUUCAGAGAACCUGCUUUUGGUUUUCUUAAUUUUUGCUAUUAAUUUCCUGGCUUCAGUUUCAUUGAUUUCUAAUCUGAUUUUUAUUUUUUUCUUUUCUUCUCGUUAUUUUAAGCUUUAAUUGUUUUUUCUCUAGUUUCUUGAAGUGCAAGCUUAGAUUUCAGAUCUUUUUGUUUCUAAUCAUGCUUUUCUAAUACAUGUAUUUCUUUGUAGGUAUCACUUUACCUUAUCCCAUAAAAUUUGAUUAGAAAGUUGUGUUUUGACUUUUAUUUAGUUCAAAAUGUUUUUAAAACUUUCCUCAGACUUUUUUUUGACACAUGCAUCAGUGAGAAAUAUGCUUUUUAAUUUUGAACUGGUGGGGGUGGUUCAAGUAUCUUGUUGUUAUUGAUUUAUAGUGUAAUUUCAUUGUGGUCUGAGAAUGCAUUUUGUCUGUUUUCUUUCUGCAAGUUUGCUAAGGUGUGUCUCAUCACCCAAAAUGUGCAUAGUCUUGGUAAAUGUUCCAGGUGACCUUGAGAAGAAUGUAUUUUCUGCUAUUUGUUGAGUGGAGUGUUCUAUCUUCUGCCUAGAAGUGUCAUAUAGGUCAAGUUAAUCCCCAUUGUUGUUCAGAUUAACUAUAUUUCUAUUAAUGUUCUGCUUGUUAGAUCCACCAAGUCCUGAAAAGCAGGCAUUGAAGUCUCCAGCUGUAACUGGUUAUUUUUUGUUUCUCCUUGCAGUUCUACUAGGUUGCCUGUUUUAUGAUACUUUGUUGUUAAAGACAUGCUUGUUAAAGAUUGUUAUAUCUUCUUGGAGAAUUAACCACUUUAUUACUCUGUAAUGUCCAUCUUUGUCCCUGAUAAUUUUCCUUGCUCUGAAGUCUGUUUUGAAUGGAAUUACUAAAGUUGUUUGAGCUUUGUUUUGAUUAUUGUUAGCAUUGCUAUAUCUUUCUUCAUCCCUUUAAUUUUAAUGUGUUAGUGUCUUUAUGUUUAAAUUGAGUUUCCUAUAGAAAACUAUCCUUUUGUUGUUGUUUAAAAUCCAUUUUCCUUUGUAGGGACAUGGAUGAAACUGGAAACCAUCAUUCUCAGCAAACUAUCGCAAGGACAAAAAACCAAACACUGCAUGUUCUCACUCAUAGGUGGGAAUCGAACAAUGAGAACACAUGGACACAGGAAGGGGAACAUCACACACCGGGAACUGUUGUGGGGUGGGGGGAG